GAUGAACGCUGGCGGCGUGCCUAAUACAUGCAAGUCGAGCGAAAGGACGAGAAGCUUGCUUCUCUGAUGUUAGCGGAGGAGGGGUGAGUAACACGUGGAUCACCUACCUAUAUGACUGGGAUCACUUCGGGACUCCGGCGAAUAUCCCGGAUAAUCUUUUGAACCGCGUGGUUCAAUAGUGAAAGACGGUCUUGCUGUCACUACUAGCUGGAUAUGAGCUGGAUUAGCUAGUUGGUACGGUAACGGCUUACCAAGGCAACGAUGCAUAGCCGACCUGUGAGAGUGAUCGGCCACACGGGAGCUGAGACACCGUCCUGGCGCCUACGGUAGGCAGCAGUAGGGAAUCGUCCGCAGUGGGCGGAAGCCUUGCAGAGCGGCGCCGCGUGUGUGAUGGAGGUCUUCGGAGCGUAAUGCUCGGUUAUUAGUGAUGAACAGAUUUGGAAGUUACUGUGGACAGCUUGACGGUACCGAAUCAAAAAGCCACGGCUAACUACGUG
rnacentral:rRNA from 1 species